rnacentral:rRNA from 1 species
GGCUUAGAGUUUGAUCAUGGCUCAGGAUGAACGCUGGCGGCGUGCCUAACACAUGCAAGUCGAACGAAGCGCUUUACUUUGAUUUCUUCGGAUUGAAAAGUUUUGUGACUGAGUGGCGGACGGGUGAGUAACGCGUGGGUAACCUGCCCCACACAGGGGGAUAACAACCAGAAAUGGCUGCUAAUACCGCAUAAGCGCACGAAACCGCAUGGUUUUGUGUGAAAAACUCCGGUGGUGUGGGAUGGGCCCGCGUUGGAUUAGCCAGUUGGCAGGGUAACGGCCUACCAAAGCGACGAUCCAUAGCCGGCCUGAGAGGGUGAACGGCCACAUUGGGACUGAGACACGGCCCAGACUCCUACGGGAGGCAGCAGUAGGGAAUAUUGCACAAUGGGGGAAACCCUGAUGCAGCGACGCCGCGUGAAGGAAGAAGUAUCUCGGUAUGUAAACUUCUAUCAGCAGGGAAGAAAAUGACGGUACCUGACUAAGAAGCCCCGGCUAACUACGUGCCAGCAGCCGCGGUAAUACGUAGGGGGCAAGCGUUAUCCGGAUUUACUGGGUGUAAAGGGAGCGUAGACGGAGCAGCAAGUCUGAUGUGAAAGGCAGGGGCUCAACCCCUGGACUGCAUUGGAAACUGUUGAUCUUGAGUACCGGAGGGGUAAGCG